ACUAAGCGUACACGGUGGAUGCCCUGGCAGUCAGAGGCGAUGAAGGACGUGCUAAUCUGCGAUAAGCGUCGGUAAGGUGAUAUGAACCGUUAUAACCGGCGAUUUCCGAAUGGGGAAACCCAGUGUGUUUCGACACACUAUCAUUAACUGAAUCCAUAGGUUAAUGAGGCGAACCGGGGGAACUGAAACAUCUAAGUACCCCGAGGAAAAGAAAUCAACCGAGAUUCCCCCAGUAGCGGCGAGCGAACGGGGAGCAGCCCAGAGCCUGAAUCAGUGUGUGUGUUAGUGGAAGCGUCUGGAAAGGCGCGCGAUACAGGGUGACAGCCCCGUACACAAAAAUGCACAUACUGUGAGCUCGAUGAGUAGGGCGGGACACGUGGUAUCCUGUCUGAAUAUGGGGGGACCAUCCUCCAAGGCUAAAUACUCCUGACUGACCGAUAGUGAACCAGUACCGUGAGGGAAAGGCGAAAAGAACCCCGGCGAGGGGAGUGAAAAAGAACCUGAAACCGUGUACGUACAAGCAGUGGGAGCACGCUUAGGCGUGUGACUGCGUACCUUUUGUAUAAUGGGUCAGCGACUUAUAUUCUGUAGCAAGGUUAACCGAAUAGGGGAGCCGAAGGGAAACCGAGUCUUAACUGGGCGUUAAGUUGCAGGGUAUAGACCCGAAACCCGGUGAUCUAGCCAUGGGCAGGUUGAAGGUUGGGUAACACUAACUGGAGGACCGAACCGACUAAUGUUGAAAAAUUAGCGGAUGACUUGUGGCUGGGGGUGAAAGGCCAAUCAAACCGGGAGAUAGCUGGUUCUCCCCGAAAGCUAUUUAGGUAGCGCCUCGUGAAUUCAUCUCCGGGGGUAGAGCACUGUUUCGGCAAGGGGGUCAUCCCGACUUACCAACCCGAUGCAAACUGCGAAUACCGGAGAAUGUUAUCACGGGAGACACACGGCGGGUGCUAACGUCCGUCGUGAAGAGGGAAACAACCCAGACCGCCAGCUAAGGUCCCAAAGUCAUGGUUAAGUGGGAAACGAUGUGGGAAGGCCCAGACAGCCAGGAUGUUGGCUUAGAAGCAGCCAUCAUUUAAAGAAAGCGUAAUAGCUCACUGGUCGAGUCGGCCUGCGCGGAAGAUGUAACGGGGCUAAACCAUGCACCGAAGCUGCGGCAGCGACACUAUGUGUUGUUGGGUAGGGGAGCGUUCUGUAAGCCUGUGAAGGUGUACUGUGAGGUAUGCUGGAGGUAUCAGAAGUGCGAAUGCUGACAUAAGUAACGAUAAAGCGGGUGAAAAGCCCGCUCGCCGGAAGACCAAGGGUUCCUGUCCAACGUUAAUCGGGGCAGGGUGAGUCGACCCCUAAGGCGAGGCCGAAAGGCGUAGUCGAUGGGAAACAGGUUAAUAUUCCUGUACUUGGUGUUACUGCGAAGGGGGGACGGAGAAGGCUAUGUUGGCCGGGCGACGGUUGUCCCGGUUUAAGCGUGUAGGCUGGUUUUCCAGGCAAAUCCGGAAAAUCAAGGCUGAGGCGUGAUGACGAGGCACUACGGUGCUGAAGCAACAAAUGCCCUGCUUCCAGGAAAAGCCUCUAAGCAUCAGGUAACAUCAAAUCGUACCCCAAACCGACACAGGUGGUCAGGUAGAGAAUACCAAGGCGCUUGAGAGAACUCGGGUGAAGGAACUAGGCAAAAUGGUGCCGUAACUUCGGGAGAAGGCACGCUGAUAUGUAGGUGAAGUCCCUCGCGGAUGGAGCUGAAAUCAGUCGAAGAUACCAGCUGGCUGCAACUGUUUAUUAAAAACACAGCACUGUGCAAACACGAAAGUGGACGUAUACGGUGUGACGCCUGCCCGGUGCCGGAAGGUUAAUUGAUGGGGUUAGCGCAAGCGAAGCUCUUGAUCGAAGCCCCGGUAAACGGCGGCCGUAACUAUAACGGUCCUAAGGUAGCGAAAUUCCUUGUCGGGUAAGUUCCGACCUGCACGAAUGGCGUAAUGAUGGCCAGGCUGUCUCCACCCGAGACUCAGUGAAAUUGAACUCGCUGUGAAGAUGCAGUGUACCCGCGGCAAGACGGAAAGACCCCGUGAACCUUUACUAUAGCUUGACACUGAACAUUGAGCCUUGAUGUGUAGGAUAGGUGGGAGGCUUUGAAGUGUGGACGCCAGUCUGCAUGGAGCCGACCUUGAAAUACCACCCUUUAAUGUUUGAUGUUCUAACGUUGACCCGUAAUCCGGGUUGCGGACAGUGUCUGGUGGGUAGUUUGACUGGGGCGGUCUCCUCCUAAAGAGUAACGGAGGAGCACGAAGGUUGGCUAAUCCUGGUCGGACAUCAGGAGGUUAGUGCAAUGGCAUAAGCCAGCUUGACUGCGAGCGUGACGGCGCGAGCAGGUGCGAAAGCAGGUCAUAGUGAUCCGGUGGUUCUGAAUGGAAGGGCCAUCGCUCAACGGAUAAAAGGUACUCCGGGGAUAACAGGCUGAUACCGCCCAAGAGUUCAUAUCGACGGCGGUGUUUGGCACCUCGAUGUCGGCUCAUCACAUCCUGGGGCUGAAGUAGGUCCCAAGGGUAUGGCUGUUCGCCAUUUAAAGUGGUACGCGAGCUGGGUUUAGAACGUCGUGAGACAGUUCGGUCCCUAUCUGCCGUGGGCGCUGGAGAACUGAGGGGGGCUGCUCCUAGUACGAGAGGACCGGAGUGGACGCAUCACUGGUGUUCGGGUUGUCAUGCCAAUGGCACUGCCCGGUAGCUAAAUGCGGAAGAGAUAAGUGCUGAAAGCAUCUAAGCACGAAACUUGCCCCGAGAUGAGUUCUCCCUGACUCCUUGAGAGUCCUGAAGGAACGUUGAAGACGACGACGUUGAUAGGCCGGGUGUGUAAGCGCAGCGAUGCGUUGAGCUAACCGGUACUAAUGAACCGUGAGGCUUAACC
rnacentral:rRNA from 1 species